AAUUUUUUAUUAAAAAUAUUAUUAUUAUUAUUAAAACAAUAGACCCGGACAAAAUCGAUGUCUACAAUACUAGUCAUUUUGAUAUGCACAAUGAUUUUAAGUUCGUUAUGAACUUUAUGAUUUUUUCAAAUAAUGUUAAUCAAUCUGUUUUUCAAUUUCAUUUGUAUAGGAAUACAAAAGAGAGUUUUAGAGUUCAAAUAAGAGGCUGUUGUUGAUUCAUUUGUUGUUGAUUCAUUUGUUGAUCUAAUUGAUAUGUAUGUGAUUAAAUUAGUAUUAUGUAUCAGAAUGCUAUGUAAGACAAUCCUUGUGCCCUGUCUCUUUGUUUUAUAUACCUGAUGGACCAAAUACAUAAUAUAUAGGAAAAUGUACCAUUAACGAAUUUUCAACUGUGGAUACAUGUCUAUCCUUACCAUACAGAAACAAAUGCUAUUAAUAAGCCAAUUAUGUUAUAUUAUAAAGCAGUUUUUUUUUUUUUUUUGUGGCUUUACACAUACCUUAGUUGCAAUAACUCCUCUUGCCCUGGUAGGAGGUCUGAAGUUCAAAUGCUCUCCCACAAAUUAUUAACUAUUAAAAGAAGAUGCAAAUAUUUGGAUCUGCUUAAAAAAUUUGUGUUCAAAUGAUGCUCAAGUCAAAUUUAAUUUAACAAGUAUUCUAGAUUAUAGUUUCUGAUUUUUAUAAGGUUAUAUACUUGUUUCAUACUUAGGAUGGUGUUUUACGUUGUACUUAUGGGAUUCUUAUUAUAUUAUGUCGAGACCUUGUGGUAUAUGCCAAACAGGAUAAAAAUUUUGCUUGGCAUAUUGAAAUUUGAGAUUGUGGCUUUUUAAAUGAUAGGAAGGCGGCGCCUGGGAUUUCUGUUGGGUUAAGGAUGGAGAAUUGCAUGUUACCGUACCAGAAUUUAUUUGUUGAUUAUAUAGUUUUUAUAUUGAUUUUAUUGAUUUGAUGGUGAAAUGGAAUGGGAUGAUAUAGUGACAGGCCAUGCAACAAUUAAGUAAUAGUUUUUGUGAUUGAUCCAUUGUCCCAUUUCUAUGUUGGUGUUUCUUUCUCUGAAACUCUUGGCUUGAAACUGGUGAUUACUUCAAUUUUGAACCUUUUCUUUCUGCAUUGUGAUAAUUAUUGGAUUUUGAAGUGCAAAUGCUAUCUAAAGUUGUUUGAUUCUCCUUUGAACUCACUGGCUGAAGAAGAGGAUGACACAUCAAAAACUCCUUCUCAGAAAAAGAAAAUGAAGAAGUAGAGGAAGGUGGAACGAGCUAAGAAAGUAUAUCAGCUUGUUUUGGUGAUUCUUGGCUAACACUCUCUUUGAUGAUUUCAUUCUGAUGCCGUGUAUUAUUUUAAGAGGCAGAGGAGAAAAAUGAAGAAUCAAGUUCUAGUGGCAUCUCUAAGUCUGGGAAACGACAUGUUAAACCUGUAGAUCCUUAUCCUUUUGGAGAAAAAUUAUUGAAGACAGAGUAUCCCUUGUCAGAAGCAACGAAGUACUUGAAGUUGCUUCAGAAGAACUCACCUGAUUCUUUUAUAGACGCACUUACUUUCUUUUGAAGCUGUAAAGCAACUGCUAAGGCUGGAUGCUGAGAAUCCAGAUUCACAUCGCUGCUUGAUUAAAUUUUUCCAUAAAUUGGGCUCAAUGCCUGCUCCAUUAACUGAUGCUGAAAAACUUGUUUGGAGUGUCUUAGAAGCUGAGCGUCCAUCCAUCAGAGGAUACCACUUGAUUUACUGCAAGGAAACAAAUUUCGUAAAGCGGCAAUUGAUUGCAUUAAGCCUUUUCUAGCCUUUAUAUACAGAGUCGGAUACUGAAACAUGUUGGUGAUUUGGUAGCUGUGGCUUCAUUGACAGAUGAAGCUAGGUGUAUGGAUCUUGCAGAUCGCUAUGUAAACAGUUAAUCUGUGAAGCGAAUGUUGCAGUCUGAUCAGGUGGCUUUGGCAGGAAAAACUGCUGUUUUGUUCACGAAAGAUGGGGGCCAGCACAACAACCUUCAUGACAUGCAGUGCAUGUGGUAUGAACUUGCUUCUGAUGAAAGUUACUUUCGACAUGGUGAUUUUGGACGGGCCCUAGAGAAAUUUAUAGCUGUGGAGAAGCACUAUGCUGAUAUUACUGAAGAUCAAUUUGAUUUCCAUUCUUAUUGUUUGCGGAAAAUGGCACCACGUGCAUAUGUUGGAAAGCUAAAAUUUAAAGAUUGGUUGCAUUCACAUGCUUAUUUUCACAAAGUAGCAGCUGGAGCCAUUAGGAGCUGACCUCAACCUCUGGACCUUGUGAUCCUUUAUGUUGAGUUGAUGAAGCUAGCUCGUUAGAUUUCGAAGUUACUUACCAGCCAAAGACUAAUUUGUUGAAAACUAUUGGUGUUUUCACAGCAGCUUUAACAGGGACUGUGGCAAUUAACCUAUCAUGGGUUACCAACAUCCAGGUUUAUCUUUAAUUUCUUGUGCAAUCCUUUCUUUGUAGGUUGUAAUCAUUUUUUCA